rnacentral:rRNA from 1 species
UACGUAGGGGGCAAGCGUUGUCCGGAUUUAUUGGGCGUAAAGAGCGUGUAGGCGGCUAGGUAGGUCCGUUGUGAAAACUCGAGGCUCAACCUCGAGACGUCGAUGGAAACCAUCUAGCUAGAGUCCGGAAGAGGAGAGUGGAAUUCCUGGUGUAGCGGUGAAAUGCGCAGAUAUCAGGAAGAACACCCGUGGCGAAGGCGGCUCUCUGGUACGUGACUGACGCUGAGACGCGAAAGCGUGGGAGCGAACAGG